GUGGACGCCAGUCUGCAUGGAGCCGACCUUGAAAUACCACCCUUUAAUGUUUGAUGUUCUAACGUGGACCCGUAAUCCGGGUUGCGGACAGUGUCUGGUGGGUAGUUUGACUGGGGCGGUCUCCUCCUAAAGAGUAACGGAGGAGCACGAAGGUUGGCUAAUCCUGGUCGGACAUCAGGAGGUUAGUGCAAUGGCAUAAGCCAGCUUGACUGCGAGCGUGACGGCGCGAGCAGGUGCGAAAGCAGGUCAUAGUGAUCCGGUGGUUCUGAAUGGAAGGGCCAUCGCUCAACGGAUAAAAGGUACUCCGGGGAUAACAGGCUGAUACCGCCCAAGAGUUCAUAUCGACGGCGGUGUUUGGCACCUCGAUGUCGGCUCAUCACAUCCUGGGGCUGAAGUAGGUCCCAAGGGUAUGGCUGUUCGCCAUUUAAAGUGGUACGCGAGCUGGGUUUAGAACGUCGUGAGACAGUUCGGUCCCUA
rnacentral:rRNA from 3 species